rnacentral:lncRNA from 1 species
AGAGAGGAGAGCUAUAUAGAUGGGGCACCGGUGGACUGCAGUGGCCAAACUGGGAAGAAUCUGGGUGUUGGGGGAGUCAGUACCUCGACCUCACCCUUUUCUCUCCUCUGAUCACCUACAGGCCUCUCCUUUGAAAGGGCUACAUCUAACUGGGAGCUGGAAGACAAAGUCAUGUAACUCAUGUGGGGCAGCAUUCCCAAGGGCCUGUGUAGCAGCCAGAAAGGUAGAGAGGGGAUCUGGAGAUGCAACAGAAGAGUCCAAAUACAUCUGCCAUAGCAUGAUUUUACUGCAAGUAUUUCUUUUUGUUGAUACUACACUAAAUAUCAUUCAUAGUCUUCAAAGCGGUUUCAUUUGGACACACUGCCACGCCCACAGAAAAGUCUCAGGACUACUGUCAGGUGGCCUAUCGGAGGGUGUGGAAGAGGAGGAGUGCAGCACAAAUAACCUCUUGAAAGAGUGAAGUGCGAUCUCCUGGGCUAUUUGUGGAUACCUUAUUCCUAUUGGUAAAUGACUUGAUUUUGCAUCCUCAAAACGGCCAGCUGAAGUUAGCCUUGCUGAGUGGAGCGAAGGCAUAUGGUUUGUAAGCGUAUCAGCAAUGGGAGGCCUGGAUGUUGAAUGGAAGACUUGGUCCAGCAGAGAGUGUGGAAGUCUGGGGACCGCCAAAGAACCCCAGAAGUCUUAAAGGAAGAUGGGUCAUAACAGAAGGCGGUCGAUACCAAUACAAAUUUGGUCGAUACCAAAUGUCUAGGGCUGCUUAGACAAGCACCCAGUGAGAAACGAUAAACCCCUUCUGUUCCUUUCAACAGCUUCUCCUCCUCUCUUUCCUUUUUUUUUUUUUUACUUCAAAUACUAAAUAACAAUGAGCAAUGCCCUUCAAAUACUAAAUAACAAUGAGCAAUGCCCUAAAUAAAUUUGGGUCAAAGCUCCUUCCUCCA